rnacentral:rRNA from 1 species
GACGAACGCUGGCGGCGUGCUUAACACAUGCAAGUCGAACGAUGGAGCCCAGCUUGCUGGGUGGAUUAGUGGCGAACGGGUGAGUAACACGUGGGCAACCUGCCCCAAACUCUGGGAUAACUCCUCGAAAGAGGUGCUAAUACCGGAUACGAACUAGACAGACAUCUGUACUAGUUGGAAAGUUUUUCGGUUUGGGAUGGGCCCGCGGCCUAUCAGCUUGUUGGUGAGGUAACGGCUCACCAAGGCUACGACGGGUAACCGGCCUGAGAGGGCGACCGGUCACACUUGGACUGAGACACGGCCCAGACUCCUACGGGAGGCAGCAGUGGGGAAUAUUGCGCAAUGGGCGAAAGCCUGACGCAGCGACGCCGCGUGAGGGAUGAAGGUCUUCGGAUCGUAAACCUCUUUCAGUAGGGACGAAGCGAAAGUGACGGUACCUAAAGAAGAAGCACCGGCUAACUACGUGCCAGCAGCCGCAGUAA